rnacentral:misc_RNA from 1 species
CAACCCUCAAGCCCCCCCGGGGCUCGGUGUUGGGGGACGGCGGAGAGCCCCAGCGGCCCCCCCGCCGCCCCCGAAAUGAAUUGGCGGCCUCGGCGCUGCCUCCCCUGCGUAGUAGCACUGCUCGCACCGGGAGCGCGCCGCGGCCACGCCGUAAAACGCCCCAACUUCUCAAGAG